AUGUACCCCCCCUUGUACGCUCCGGUUCCUGCGGGCCGUUCACGUCGACCUGACGACCGCUCGCUACGUUUUGUUAGCC
rnacentral:sRNA from 1 species